UGGGGAAUAUUGCACAAUGGGCGCAAGCCUGAUGCAGCCAUGCCGCGUGUAUGAAGAAGGCCUUCGGGUUGUAAAGUACUUUCAGUCGGGAGGAAGGUGUCAAGGUUAAUAACCUUGGCAAUUGACGUUACCGACAGAAGAAGCACCGGCUAACUCCGUGCCAGCAGCCGCGGUAAUACGGAGGGUGCAAGCGUUAAUCGGAAUUACUGGGCGUAAAGCGCACGCAGGCGGUUGAUUGAGUCAGAUGUGAAAUCCCCGGGCUUAACCCGGGACUUGCAUCUGAUACUGGUCAGCUAGAGUCUUGUAGAGGGGGGUAGAAUUCCAUGUGUAGCGGUGAAAUGCGUAGAGAUGUGGAGGAGUACCGGUGGCGAAGGCGGCCCCCUGGACAAAGACUGACGCUCAGGUGCGAAAGCGUGGGGAGCAAACAGG
rnacentral:rRNA from 1 species